rnacentral:tRNA from 1 species
AGUAAAGUGGCCGACAACUUAGGUAGAAGAUUGUAACCCUUCCUACGGGAAACCCCCCUUUACA